rnacentral:rRNA from 1 species
AUGUCAGUUUCAGAUACGAACCUUCAUAAUGGAGAAAAGCCCAUCUCCGAAAUUACCGAUGCGGAACUCGGCGAAAAGCAUGGUCAUAUGAAGUUAGUAUGCUCACACACAAGGUUCGGAAAAACCAUGAAACUGUUGUCACCAGACCACAAAAAGUACAUCAUAUUAGAAACCAGUCUAAGCGGUCUAACCCAGAUGCAUGAAGUGACUCUACGGCGCAUAAUGUUGGUUAGACUAGCCAAGAGAAUAGAUAUGGACACCCAAUCCAUUACCAUCGGAAAAACGCCAAUUCCUAUAACAAAAGAGGACGUGCAGUGUAUAUUUGGCAUUCCGAUAGAUGGGGAGGAUAUAGAGCCACAUCUGGAAAUGCAAACCGACACAGAAUUGUUUACCGCCUAUGCAAACAAUGGGCAAAUUUUGAUUUCUGACCUUGAAACGGCGAUCCGAGCUUCCAAAGCCCCAGACGGCGAUUUCCUGAGACGGUUCAUUCUGUACGCAAUUGGUACUGUUCUAGCACCAACAGCACAACAUUAUGUGGACUCGAAAUUUCUCAACCUUGUUACAGAUCUUCAAAACCUUUGGAAAUUUAACUGGGGAUGUUUCACACUUAAUCACUUCUUCAAGUCUGUGCACAAGUUUAGAAAUCGAGAUCACGUAAAUCUACAAGGAAAUCUAAUUCUGCUCCAGUAUUGGUACUGGGAGCACGUGCGUAGUGGCCGAUUGAUGUAUGCUUUCUAG